GACGAACGCUGGCGGCGUGCUUAACACAUGCAAGUCGAACGAUGAACCGGUUUCGGCCGGGGAUUAGUGGCGAACGGGUGAGUAACACGUGGGCAAUCUGCCCUGCACUCUGGGAUAAGCCCGGGAAACUGGGUCUAAUACCGGAUACGACACUCCGAGGCAUCUUGGGGUGUGGAAAGUUCCGGCGGUGCAGGAUGAGCCCGCGGCCUAUCAGCUUGUUGGUGGGGUAAUGGCCUACCAAGGCGACGACGGGUAGCCGGCCUGAGAGGGUGACCGGCCACACUGGGACUGAGAUACGGCCCAGACUCCUACGGGAGGCAGCAGUGGGGAAUAUUGCACAAUGGGCGAAAGCCUGAUGCAGCGACGCCGCGUGAGGGAUGACGGCCUUCGGGUUGUAAACCUCUUUCAGCAGGGAAGAAGCGAAAGUGACGGUACCUGCAGAAGAAGCACCGGCUAACUACGUG
rnacentral:rRNA from 1 species